rnacentral:rRNA from 1 species
UAGCCUUGACAUACUACAGAAUUUGACAGAGAUGUUGGAGUGCCUUCGGGAGCUGUAAUACAGGUGCUGCACGGCUGUCGUCAGCUCGUGUCGUGAGAUGUUGGGUUAAGUCCCGCAACGAGCGCAACCCUCGUCCUUAGUUACUAACGGUUCGGCCGAGGACUCUAAGGAGACUGCCUUCGUAAGGAGGAGGAAGGUGAGGACGACGUCAAGUCAUCAUGGCCCUUACGGCUAGGGCAACACACGUGCUACAAUGGUUAGGACAAUGAGAAGCGAUACCGCGAGGUGGAGCAAAUCUAUAAACCUAAUCUCAGUUCGGAUAGCAGUCUGCAACUCGACUGCUUGAAGCUGGAAUCACUAGUAAUCGUAAAUCAGCUAUGUUACGGUGAAUACGUUCCGCGGGUCU